UUAUGGCUUGUGAACUUCCAGCAUGCAGCUGAAGGCGUCAUCGCAGAUCUACCGUUGACACCGCAUCUUGCUGUCAUAGGUACUUUGGGCAAAUAAACCCAUCAAGAAGACGGGACAAAGGGCUCAAUUGCGGCAUCGCGCCAAGGCUGUUGAGUCUCAUAAAACCAUUCGAGUUGUAAUGUGGUACCAUAGUGCUACAAUGAUUCGGCGCUCUUCAUGCUGAACCGGAAAGGCAACUGGCAGUCAACAUUUUAAGAAAUAAAUCUGCAAGUAAAUAUGCCAAGCGUUGUGGGAUCUUUUA